rnacentral:tRNA from 7 species
GGCUCUAUCGUCUAGCGGUUAGGACACCGGGUUCUCAUCCCGGCAACCCGGGUUCGAUUCCCGGUAGAGUCACCA